rnacentral:lncRNA from 1 species
CAGAAAGAGCCAAAAUCGGGGAAUAUCUCCGGGAUCUUUAUUUAGGGAAGAGCUUUUCCUCGGGAAGAGCCCAAAAUCCUCUCCUCAAUCCCAGGCAAACCUCCCCCGUCCCCUUCCCUUGGAAUAUUUCCCUUCCCUUGGAAUAUUUUCCUUGGAAUAUUUUCCUUGGAAUAUUUUCCUUUCGCUUGGAAUUCUUUCCCUUCCCUUGGAAUUUUUCCCCCUCCCUUGGAAUUUUUCCCCUCCCUUGGAAUAUUUUCCCGUGGAAUAUUUUCCUUUCCCUUGGAAUAUUUCCCCUCCCCUGGAAUAUUUUCCCUUGGAAUAUUUUCCCUUGGAAUUUUCCCCCUCCCUUGGAAUAUUUUCCCUUGGAAUUUUUCCCCUUCCCCUGGAAUUUUUCCCCUUCCCUUGGAAUAUUUCCCUUGGAAUUCUUUCCCUUUCCCCUGGAAUUUUCCCCUCCCUUGCAAUAUUUUCCCUUUCCCUGGAAUAUUUUCCCUUCCCUUGGAAUUUUUUCCCCUUCCCUUGGAAUAUUUUCCCUUGGAAGUUUCCCCUCCCCUUGGAAUAUUUUCCCUUGGAAUUCUUUCCCUUUCCCCUGGAAUUUUUCCCCUUCCCUUGGAAUAUUUUCCCUUGGAAUUCUUUCCCCUGGAAUUUUUCCCCCUCCCUUGGAAUAUUUUUCCCCUCCCUUGGAAUAUUUUCCCUUGGAAUUCUUUCCCUUCCCUUGGAAUAUUUUCCCCUCCCUUGGAAUAUUUUCCUUGGAAUAUUUCCCCCUCCCUUGGAAUAUUUUCCCCUCCCUUGGAAUAUUUCCCCCUCCCUUGGAAUAUUUUCCCCCUCCCUUGGAAUAUUUCCCCCUCCCUUGGGAUAUUUUUCCCGUCCCUCCGGGAUUUUUGCCGAGGGAUGGCUGCAGGAAGUGGCAGCGGGAAUUCCUCCCUGCCCUAUCCCCAUUUUCCCCUCAUUUCCCGGCAUUUCCGAGGCCUCUGAGCGCCCCGGGGGGUGCAAAAGAUGUUCUCCCCUCCUGUGAGCAGCGGCAAGAACGGCCCCACGUCCUUGGCCAGCGGCCACUUCAGCGGCUCCAGUGUGGAGGAGAGGAGCAGCUCCGGCUCCUGGGGCAGCGCGGGACAGCCCAGCCCGGCACGGGUGAGCAACACGCGGGAAUUGGGGAAAAAAAUGGGGAUUUGGGGGCAAAAAUGGGGAUUUUGGUUAAAGAAAUGGGGAUUUUGGUUAAAGAAAUGGGAAUUUCGGGGAAAAAAAU